UUGACAGCCCUGUGAGACUGAAAGCCCUGUGUUUAUCCCCAGUACGGAUACAACACAACAAGCAAAAAUGCAACUUUCCACAAACUACCCUGCUAGUGUAUUUCAGCCCUGAUCUACACAGCCAGGGAAACAUUCAGAACACUAGGGGUUAUUGUGGUUAUCCAGGCUAUGCAGUCCUUUGUCUUUGCAGAAGCUACC
ensembl:misc_RNA